AUGUGCCCCCAGGGCUGGGCAGAGGGGCAGGAUCACCCCAGAUGUGCCCCCAGGGCUGGGCAGAGGGGCAGGAUCACCCCAGAUGUGCCCCCAGGGCUGGGCAGAGGGGCAGGAUCACCCCAGAUGUGCCCCCAGGGCUGGGCAGAGGGGCAGGAUCACCCCAGAUGUGCCCCCAGGGCUGGGCAGAGGGGCAGGAUCACCCCAGAUGUGCCCCCAGGGCUGGGCAGAGGGGCAGGAUCACCCCAGAUGUGCCCCCAGGGCUGGGCAGAGGGGCAGGAUCACCCCAGAUGUGCCCCCAGGGCUGGGCAGAGCACGGCAGGGGCAGUUUCUGGUGAGGUGGAUUGUGCCUCACCUUGGGCUCAGCUCAAAGCCACAGUGACAUUCCAGGAUUUCUCAAACACAACGACGUGGAAGCACCUCAGGGUGAAAUUUUCUUACUAAGGAAGGAGCUGAAAUAAAUUCUAUUCUGAGAUUAUAACGUGUGCUAGAGACCCCAGAGUCCCAGAGUGGGUCAGGCUGGAAGGGACCUCAGUGGGUCCCAUCUGGUGCCACCUCCCUGCUCCAGCAGGGCCACCCCAGAGCUCAGGGCACAGGAACAUCCCCAGGGAGGACACUCCACCCCUCUGGAAUUGCUGGGCUCUGUCCCUGCCUGCUCCUCUGGUGCCACUGCUGGGCCCUGGGGCAGAGCCUGGGCCCUGCUCUGCCCCUCCCUAAACACAGGGACAGACAGGGACACUCAGGGACACCCAGGGACAGACAGAGACACCCAGGACCCUCUCAGCCAGGGCUCCUCUCCAGGCUGAGCAGUACCAGCUCCCUCAGCCUUUCCUGAGAUGCUCCAGCCCUUUCUCAUCUUCACAUUCCUCCUCUGGAGCUCCUGUCCCUGCUGUCCCUGAUCCCUGUCUGGACACAGCACCCCAGAUGUGCCCCCAGGGCAGGGCAGAGGGGCAGGAUCACCCCAGAUGUGCCGGGGGGGGGGGGGGGGGGGGGGGGGGGGGGGGGGGGGGGGGGGGGGG
rnacentral:lncRNA from 1 species